GGCUGGUCCGAUGGUGGCGGGUUAUCAGAAUUUAUUAACAUUAGUGUCACUAAAGUUGGUAUACAACCCCCCAGUGCUGAAACUGACUGCCUUAA
rnacentral:Y_RNA from 1 species